AUCAGUGGCACGUUAGAAAGCUGUGCAGGACAUGGAACUCUUCUCAGUAAUGUGGGACUGUCUUGAACAUUGAAGAAUGUCUAGCACUGCUGGCCCCUGUCUGCUAAGGACCAGGAGAGCUCCUAUCAAUGUGAUACAAAAAUGCCCCUACAAAUGUCCAAAUUCAAAUUUCCAGGGACAGUAGAUCUCCUUUUGAGACCUUUGGUGUAUGUGAAAGCCUAGCCAUCUAAGCUCUGCUUUAUUGGCCUGCUCUUUCUGAGCUUCCCUUCUCCACCAAAGACCUGGGCUUUCACGCUCUCAUUUCUCAUCACACCCUUUAGGACUCUCUCUGUAAAUAUUUGUUUGCUACUAGAAGGUUAGAACUGAUGUGAUAAACGAGGUGCAUUCCUAUCUUCCUAUGUCUACAAAGAGGCUCAGGGGGGAUUCUGGUAAAAGAUGGCAGAGUAGACGGACGUGUGCUCAUCUCCUCCUGCAAGAGCACCAAAAUCACAACUAGCUGUUGAACAACCAUCGACAGAAAGACACUGGAACCCACCAAAAAAAGAUACUCCACAUCCAAAGAGAAAGAAGAAGCUACAGCGAGAUGGUAGGAGGGGCACAAUCACAACAAAAUCAAAUCCCAUUCCUGCCCGCUGGGUGACCCACAAACUGGAGAACAGUAAUACCAAGACGUCCUCGCACUGUUGUGAAGGUUCUGAGCCCCACAUUACUUUGCCAACAAAGGUCCAUCUAUCAAAGGUAGACAGAGAUAAAAUAUUAAAAGCAACAAAGGAAAAACAACAAAUAACAUACAAGGUAACUAGCAUCAGGUUAUCUGCGGAUUUCUCAAUACAAAUGCUACAAGCCAGAAGGGAAUGGCAUGAUAUAUUUAAAGUGAUGAAAGGGAAGAAACUUCAGCUGGUAACACCUUGGAGGAAAAUUCCUUUUUCUCAUCUGUCUCUCCGCUAAGCUGUGAGCUGCUAGCAGGCAGCAUUAUGCCCAGCGUAUCUGCUCAUGCUUCUGUUGCUACUCCCUGGAACACAGCGGUGAAAGCUUGAAGGAAUGAAAGAAUGGUCCCAACCCUGUGCACUGUUUACAUGCUUGUAUCUGAUCUACGCAACAGCCUGUGACACUGCCAGUCCAGGGAAUAUCAGCUGCCAUUCUGCUGAUGAGGAGAGGGGCCUCAAAGAGGUGAUGGAGCUGUGAGCUCAAGCUCUGAAGUCCACUCCCUGCGUUCAAGUCCAGCCCUCUCACUUAGCAGAUGUUUGACAAG
ensembl:lncRNA